GAUGAACGCUGGCGGCGUGCCUAAUACAUGCAAGUCGAGCGAACAGACGAGGGGCUUGCUCCUCUGUCGUUAGCGGCGGACGGGUGGGUAAAACGUGGAGAACCUACCUUUUAGACGGGGGGAAAAACGGGAAAACGAAGCUAAUACCGCCUAAUAUAAUGAAACAAAUGGUUUAAUAUUGAAAGACGAUUUUUCUGUCACUUAAAGAUGGCUCCGCGUCGUAUUAGUUAGUUGGUGAGGGAAAGGCUUACCCAGGCGAUGAUACGUAGCCGACCUGAGAGGGGGGUCGGCCACAUUGGGACUGAGACACGGCCCAAAACCCUACGGGAGGCAGCAGUAGGGAAUCUUCGGCCAUGGACGAAAGUCUGACCGAGCAACGGCGCGGGAGUGAAGAAGGUUUUCGGAUCGUAAAACUCUGUUGGUAGAGAAGAACGUUGGUGAGAGUGGAAAGCUCAUGAAGUGACGGUAACUAACCAGAAAGGGACGGCUAACUACGUG
rnacentral:rRNA from 1 species